rnacentral:rRNA from 1 species
AUUGAACGCUGGCGGCAGGCCUAACACAUGCAAGUCGAGCGGAUGAAGGGAGCUUGCUCCUGGAUUCAGCGGCGGACGGGUGAGUAAUGCCUAGGAAUCUGCCUGGUAGUGGGGGAUAACGUCCGGAAACGGGCGCUAAUACCGCAUACGUCCUGAGGGAGAAAGUGGGGGGUCUUCGGACCUCACGCUAUCAGAUGAACCUAGGUCGGAUUAGCUAGUUGGUGGGGUAAAGGCCUACCAAGGCGACGAUCCGUAACUGGUCUGAGAGGAUGAUAAGUCACACUGGAACUGAGACACGGUCCAGACUCCUACGGGAGGCAGCAGUGGGGAAUAUUGGACAAUGGGCGAAAGCCUGAUCCAGCCAUGCCGCGUGUGUGAAGAAGGUCUUCGGAUUGUAAAGCACUUUAAGUUGGGAGGAAGGGCAGUAAGUUAAUACCUAGCUGUUUUGACGUUACCAACAGAAUAAGCACCGGCUAACUUCGUG